AGGGUUUGAUCAUGGCUCAGGAUGAACGCUAGCGGCAGGCCUAACACAUGCAAGUCGAGGGGUAACAUGAAGUGCUUGCACUUUGAUGACGACCGGCGCACGGGUGCGCACCGCGUAUGGAACCUACCUUUUACAGGGGAAUAGCCCAGGGAAACUUGGAUUAAUGCCCCGUAGUAUCAUUUUGCAGCAUUGCAUUUUGAUUAAAGACUUCGGUCGGUAGAAGAUGGCCAUGCGUCCCAUUAGUUAGUUGGCGAGGUAACGGCUCACCAAGACAGCGAUGGGUAGGGGCCCUGAGAGGGGGAUCCCCCACACUGGUACUGAGACACGGACCAGACUCCUACGGGAGGCAGCAGUGAGGAAUAUUGGACAAUGGAGGAGACUCUGAUCCAGCCAUGCCGCGUGUAGGAAGAAUGCCCUAUGGGUAGUAAACUACUUUUAUACAGGAAGAAAAAGGGGUACGUGUACCCCACUGACGGUACUGUAAGAAUAAGGACCGGCUAACUCCGUGCCAGCAGCCGCGGUAAUACGGAGGGUCCGAGCGUUAUCCGGAAUUAUUGGGUUUAAAGGGUCCGUAGGCGGGCUAUUAAGUCAGUGGUGAAAGUCUGCAGCUCAACUGUAGAACUGCCUUUGAUACUGAUAGUCUUGAGUUAUAGUGAAGUUGCCGGAAUAUGUAGUGUAGCGGUGAAAUGCAUAGAUAUUACAUAGAACACCGAUUGCGAAGGCAGGUGACUAACUAUAUACUGACGCUGAUGGACGAAAGCGUGGGGAGCGAACAGGAUUAGAUACCCUGGUAGUCCACGCCGUAAACGAUGGAUACUAGCUGUCCGGAACCUUGAGUUCUGGGCGGCCAAGCGAAAGUGAUAAGUAUCCCACCUGGGGAGUACGUUCGCAAGG
rnacentral:rRNA from 1 species